rnacentral:rRNA from 1 species
GACGAACGCUGGCGGCGUGCUUAACACAUGCAAGUCGAACGGAAAGGCCCUGCCGUUGGGGGGUGCUCGAGGGGCGAACGGGUGAGAAACAGGUGAGUAACCUUCCCCUGACUGUUGGAUAACGUCAGGUAACUGGAGUUAAUACCGGAUAUGAGCGCCGGCUGCAGGGUGGGGGUAGGAAUGUUUGGGGGGUGGGGGGUGGGCGCGCUGCUUGUCAGUUUGUGGGGGGGGGGGUGGCCUAGCAAGGGAUUGGUCGGUGGCCGGCCUGAGUGGGUGGCCGGCCCCAGUGGGACUGAGAUACCGCCCCGACUCCUACGGGAGGCAGCAGUGGGGGAUAUUGCAACAUGGGCGGAAGCCUGAUGCAGCAACCCCGCGUGCGGGAAGGCGGCCUUCGGGUUGUAAACCGCUUUCGCCUGCGACGAAGCGUGAAUGGCCGUUAUGGGUAGAGGAGCCCCGGCUCACUUCGUG